rnacentral:siRNA from 1 species
GGCGCCGGAAAGAGUAGUCGAUGA